rnacentral:rRNA from 1 species
AACGAACGCUGGCGGCAUGCCUAACACAUGCAAGUCGAACGAGACCUUCGGGUCUAGUGGCGCACGGGUGCGUAACGCGUGGGAACCUGCCCUUAGGUUCGGAAUAACUCCCCGAAAGGGGUGCUAAUACCGGAUAAUGUCUUCGGACCAAAGAUUUAUCGCCUUUGGAUGGGCCCGCGUUGGAUUAGCUAGUUGGUAGGGUAAAAGCCUACCAAGGCGACGAUCCAUAGCUGGUCUGAGAGGAUGAUCAGCCACACUGGGACUGAGACACGGCCCAGACUCCUACGGGAGGCAGCAGAGGGGAAUAUUGGAAAAUGGGCGAAAGCCUGAUCCAGCAAUGCCGCGUGAGUGAUGAAGGCCUUAGGGUUGUAAAGCUCUUUUACCCGGGAUGAUAAUGACAGUACCGGGAGAAUAAGCUCCGGCUAACUCCGUG